ACGUUUGACUCCUAGGCUCAAGGCAACGCUGGCGGCGUGCCUAACACAUGCAAGUCGAACGGAGCUAGAUGCUGAGACGUAGCUUGCUAUUGAAUCUGUUUAGCUUAGUGGCGGACGGGUGAGUAACGCGUGAGCAACCUACCUUUCAGAGGGGGAUAACGUUUGGAAACGAACGCUAAUACCGCAUGAUAUUAUUGGGCAGCAUUGCCUGAUAAUCAAAGGAGCAAUCCGCUGAAAGAUGGGCUCGCGUCCGAUUAGGGUAGUUGGCGGGGUAACGGCCCACCAAGCCGACGAUCGGUAGCCGGACUGAGAGGUUGAACGGUCACAUUGGGACUGAGACACGGCCCAGACUCCUACGGGAGGCAGCAGUGAGGGAUAUUGGUCAAUGGGGGAAACCCUGAACCAGCAACGCCGCGUGAGGGAAGACGGUUUUCGGAUUGUAAACCUCUGUCCUCUGUGAAGAUGAUGACGGUAGCAGAGGAGGAAGCUCCGGCUAACUACGUG
rnacentral:rRNA from 1 species